rnacentral:rRNA from 1 species
GACGAACGCUGGCGGCGUGCUUAACACAUGCAAGUCGAACGGUGAAGGGGCCUGCUUUUGUGGGCCCUGGAUGAGUGGCGAACGGGUGAGUAACACGUGAGUAACCUGCCCCCUUCUUCUGGAUAACCGCAUGAAAGUGUGGCUAAUACGGGAUAUUCUGGGUCUGUCGCAUGAUGGGUCUGGGAAAGAUUGCGCCUUUGGGUGUUUUUGGUGGGGGAUGGGCUCGCGGCCUAUCAGCUUGUUGGUGGGGUGAUGGCCUACCAAGGCGGUGACGGGUAGCCGGCCUGAGAGGGUGGACGGUCACACUGGGACUGAGACACGGCCCAGACUCCUACGGGAGGCAGCAGUGGGGAAUAUUGCACAAUGGGCGCAAGCCUGAUGCAGCGACGCCGCGUGAGGGAUGGAGGCCUUCGGGUUGUAAACCUCUUUCGCUAGUGAAGCAGGCCUGCUCCUUGUGGGUGGGUUGACGGUAGCUGGAUAAGAAGCGCCGGCUAACUACGUG